GCGGGCGUGGCGGAAUUGGCAGACGCACAGGAUUUAGGUUCCUGUGGGGUAACUCCCGUGCAGGUUCGAGCCCUGUCGCCCGCA
rnacentral:tRNA from 1 species